rnacentral:tRNA from 1 species
UGGGAUAUUAGCUCAGUAGGUAGAGCACUUGACUUUUAAUCAAGGUGUCGGGGGUUCGAAUCCCCCAUGUCUCAU